rnacentral:tRNA from 2 species
GGAGAGAUGGCCGAGUGGCUGAAGGCGCACGCUUGGAAAGCGUGUGUACCGCAAGGUACCGGGGGUUCGAAUCCCCCUUUCUCCGCCA